AUUGAACGCUGGCGGCAGGCCUAACACAUGCAAGUCGAGCGAGCGGCGGACGGGUGAGUAAUGUAUGGGGACUGCCCGAUAGAGGGGGAUAACUACUGGAAACGGUGGCUAAUACCGCAUACUAUCGGAUAACCCAUAUGGGAUUAGCUAGUAGGUGGGGUAAAGGCUCACCUAGGCGACGAUCUCUAGCUGGUCUGAGAGGAUGAUCAGCCACGCGGGGAGUGAGACACGGCCCAGAGUCGUACGGAGGCAGCAGUGGGGAAUAUUGCACAAUGGGGGCGAGCCUGAUGCGGGGACGCCGCGUGGGGGAUGAAGGCUGUCGGGUUGUAAACCUCUUUCGCUAUCGAACGGGUAGGUGGAGAAGAAGCGCCGGCUAACUACGUGCCAGCAGCCGCGGUAAUUC
rnacentral:rRNA from 1 species